UACGAAGGGGGCUAGCGUUGCUCGGAAUCACUGGGCGUAAAGCGCACGUAGGCGGAUUUCUAAGUCAGGGGUGAAAUCCUGGAGCUCAACUCCAGAACUGCCUUUGAUACUGGAGAGCUUGAGUCCGGAAGAGGUGAGUGGAACUCCGAGUGUAGAGGUGAAAUUCGUAGAUAUUCGGAAGAACACCAGUGGCGAAGGCGGCUCACUGGCCCGGUACUGACGCUGAGGUGCGAAAGCGUGGGGAGCAAACAGG
rnacentral:rRNA from 1 species